rnacentral:rRNA from 1 species
AGAGAGAGACAUGCGCGCAUAUCAAUAAGCGGAGGAAAAGAAACUAACAAGGAUUCCCUUAGUAACGGCGAGUGAAGCGGGAAGAGCUCAAAUUUGAAAUCUUCAAGGUUUUACCUUGACGAAUUGUAGUUUAAAGAAGUGUUUUCUGCUGAAGUUUUGGUAAAAGUUCUUUGGAAUAGGACAUCAUAGAGGGUGAGAAUCCCGUAUUUGACCAUUAUUUUCAGCUUUGUGAUACACUUUCAAAGAGUCGGAUUGUUUGGGAAUGCAGUCCAAAAUGGGUGGUAAAUUUCAUCUAAAGCUAAAUAUUGGCGAGAGACCGAUAGCGAACAAGUACCGUGAGGGAAAGAUGAAAAGAACUUUGAAAAGAGAGUUAAACAGUACGUGAAAUUGUCAAAAGGGAAGCGUUUGACACCAAUGUUGUUUUCUCGAAAAUCAAUUAAAAAUGGCUCGAUUUUGUAUUGUUGAGACCUUAAAAGCUCACUGUACAUUUUUCGUGUCUUUCUUAAUGCACUUUUCGUUUAACAAGUCAACAUCAGUUUCUUUUGUUGUAAAAGGGUCAUUGGAAGGUGGCUUUCUUUUCGGAGAAAGUGUUUAUAGCCUUUGGCCUCUGCAAUCGGAAGAGACUGAGGUCUGCAGCGUAGACUCUUCGGGGUUAGAUACAUUUGUGCUAAGUUAUAGCUUUUUAUAGACAACUUGUUGACUAUAAUUAGUCUUGUAGCUUACUCGCUUAUGCUAUUUUACCUACGCUUAGGAUGUUGAAGUCAUCGUAUCGCGC